AACCGAGAUUCCCCCAGUAGCGGCGAGCGAACGGGGAGGAGCCCAGAGCCUGAAUCAGCAUGUGUGUUAGUGGAAGCGUCUGGAAAGGCGCGCGAUACAGGGUGACAGCCCCGUACACAAAAGCGCAUGUGCUGUGAGCUCGAUGAGUAGGGCGGGACACGUGGUAUCCUGUCUGAAUAUGGGGGGACCAUCCUCCAAGGCUAAAUACUCCUGACUGACCGAUAGUGAACCAGUACCGUGAGGGAAAGGCGAAAAGAACCCCGGCGAGGGGAGUGAAAAAGAACCUGAAACCGUGUACGUACAAGCAGUGGGAGCCCCACCACCAAAGCAUUCUCUGGUGUUGAAGGCCCUGCAAAGCAGCAUCGCGGUGGCGGAGCGUCGUUUGCGACGCCCAACACACAAAACAAGCGGUGAGUGCUUUGGGGUGGGGUGACUGCGUACCUUUUGUAUAAUGGGUCAGCGACUUAUAUUCUGUAGCAAGGUUAACCGAAUAGGGGAGCCGCAGGGAAACCGAGUCUUAACCGGGCGUUAAGUUGCAGGGUAUAGACCCGAAACCCGGUGAUCUAGCCAUGGGCAGGUUGAAGGUUGGGUAACACUAACUGGAGGACCGAACCGACUAAUGUUGAAAAAUUAGCGGAUGACCUGUGGCUGGGGGUGAAAGGCCAAUCAAACCGGGAGAUAGCUGGUUCUCCCCGAAAGCUAUUUAGGUAGCGCCUCGUGAAUUCAUCUCCGGGGGUAGAGCACUGUUUCGGCUAGGGGGCCAUCCCGGCUUACCAACCCGAUGCAAACUGCGAAUACCGGAGAAUGUUAUCACGGGAGACACACGGCGGGUGCUAACGUCCGUCGUGAAGAGGGAAACAACCCAGACCGCCAGCUAAGGUCCCAAAGUCAUGGUUAAGUGGGAAACGAUGUGGGAAGGCCCAGACAGCCAGGAUGUUGGCUUAGAAGCAGCCAUCAUUUAAAGAAAGCGUAAUAGCUCACUGGUCGAGUCGGCCUGCGCGGAAGAUGUAACGGGGCUAAACCAUGCACCGAAGCUGCGGCAGCGACGCUGAUGCGUUGUUGGGUAGGGGAGCGUUCUGUAAGCCUGCGAAGGUGGCCUGUGAGGGUUGCUGGAGGUAUCAGAAGUGCGAAUGCUGACAUAAGUAACGAUAAAGCGGGUGAAAAGCCCGCUCGCCGGAAGACCAAGGGUUCCUGUCCAACGUUAAUCGGGGCAGGGUGAGUCGACCCCUAAGGCGAGGCCGAAAGGCGUAGUCGAUGGGAAACGGGUUAAUAUUCCCGUACUUGGUGUUACUGCGAAGGGGGGACGGAGAAGGCUAUGUUGGCCGGGCGACGGUUGUCCCGGUUUAAGCGUGUAGGUGUGUGUUCCAGGUAAAUCCGGUUCACUUUAACACUGAGGCGUGACGACGAGGCACUACGGUGCUGAAGCAACAAAUGCCCUGCUUCCAGGAAAAGCCUCUAAGCAUCAGGUAACAUCAAAUCGUACCCCAAACCGACACAGGUGGUCAGGUAGAGAAUACCAAGGCGCUUGAGAGAACUCGGGUGAAGGAACUAGGCAAAAUGGUGCCGUAACUUCGGGAGAAGGCACGCUGACACGUAGGUGAAGUGAUUUACUCACGGAGCUGAAGUCAGUCGAAGAUACCAGCUGGCUGCAACUGUUUAUUAAAAACACAGCACUGUGCAAACACGAAAGUGGACGUAUACGGUGUGACGCCUGCCCGGUGCCGGAAGGUUAAUUGAUGGGGUCAGCGCAAGCGAAGCUCCUGAUCGAAGCCCCGGUAAACGGCGGCCGUAACUAUAACGGUCCUAAGGUAGCGAAAUUCCUUGUCGGGUAAGUUCCGACCUGCACGAAUGGCGUAAUGAUGGCCAGGCUGUCUCCACCCGAGACUCAGUGAAAUUGAACUCGCUGUGAAGAUGCAGUGUACCCGCGGCAAGACGGAAAGACCCCGUGAACCUUUACUAUAGCUUGACACUGAACAUUGAGCCUUGAUGUGUAGGAUAGGUGGGAGGCUUUGAAGUGUGGACGCCAGUCUGCAUGGAGCCGACCUUGAAAUACCACCCUUUAAUGUUUGAUGUUCUAACGUGGACCCGUGAUCCGGGUUGCGGACAGUGUCUGGUGGGUAGUUUGACUGGGGCGGUCUCCUCCUAAAGAGUAACGGAGGAGCACGAAGGUUGGCUAAUCCUGGUCGGACAUCAGGAGGUUAGUGCAAUGGCAUAAGCCAGCUUGACUGCGAGCGUGACGGCGCGAGCAGGUGCGAAAGCAGGUCAUAGUGAUCCGGUGGUUCUGAAUGGAAGGGCCAUCGCUCAACGGAUAAAAGGUACUCCGGGGAUAACAGGCUGAUACCGCCCAAGAGUUCAUAUCGACGGCGGUGUUUGGCACCUCGAUGUCGGCUCAUCACAUCCUGGGGCUGAAGUAGGUCCCAAGGGUAUGGCUGUUCGCCAUUUAAAGUGGUACGCGAGCUGGGUUUAGAACGUCGUGAGACAGUUCGGUCCCUAUCUGCCGUGGGCGCUGGAGAACUGAGGGGGGCUGCUCCUAGUACGAGAGGACCGGAGUGGACGCAUCACUGGUGUUCGGGUUGUCAUGCCAAUGGCACUGCCCGGUAGCUAAAUGCGGAAGAGAUAAGUGCUGAAAGCAUCUAAGCACGAAACUUGCCCCGA
rnacentral:rRNA from 1 species